UGCAGUGCAUGGUGAAGACACGUGAUGAAUGUUAUUAAGCUUUUGUGUUGCAGAAGACUUGCAGAAACGAGAUUUGAGAUGCCUCGGACGAAGCAGUCUCAGCGUUCUCAGGCAGCCAAGAAGAGAAUCGUGAACCGGCUAGCUGCUAAUCCUGAAGAGAUCUUGCCACCUGUUAAAAAAAGAAAAGAAAUACAAGAGCCUGAUCCUACUUUUGCCAAUUGUUCCGAAUUUGCCGAUUGUUCCGAAUUUUCCGAUUGUUCCGAAUUUGCCAAAUAUUCCGAAUCUUACCCAAACUCUGACCCAAAGUCUGAUUCAGACGCUAAUUCAAAGUCUAUGCCAAAGUUUCCAAAAGAUGCUGAGAUGACUAUGCAUGCUGUUUCUUCUUUGUCUCCACAGACUUCCUAUAUCAGAGGCUCUUUCCAUCAAGGAGAUUACCGUUUUGGCUGGAAUAGGGGAAGCCAAUGUGGUGCAAACAGUUUAACUGCAAUUGUGAUGUGUAAGAUGAAAAGUGUGUUGCAGUGGACAAGAAGUGACCUGAAUGCUGUUUUGAUCCACGGAAAUGAGCUGUACAGUGCAAUGAGAGACGCAGGGAAGAUCAACGAUCCUGAAUCAGGCUUCAUAGCUGUUCAUGAGCUACCAGACACACACACUCUGAAAGAUUGUCAGUUUUCAAUAAACUAUGGUGAAACAUUGACUGGCUUGUUUGGUGUCAAUAAAUAUGAUGGUGAACUACGAGGGUAUGCAAUGUCAUUUGAUGAAGCAGUAAAUCGAGCAUUCCAGAGGUUUGAUGCAUGCUUAGUGAAUAUUAAGCUAACCAUAUGUGCAGCUGUCAGAGAAGGUUCCUGGUAUGCAGUGAUUGAUCCACAUUCAAGACGCUUUGAUGGCAGAUGUGUAGCUGACGGUAAGAGUGUAGUGGUUUACCAUCGUGACUUGCAUUCUCUGAUUGUUCAUUUCCGGAAACUCGCUGCGUCUAUUAAUGCACGUUACCAUGAGUUUGAGGUAACUGGGGUCAAUGCAGUUAUGAUUGACAGAAACGAUCAACAGGGUAAGCCAUUCUGUCCAGUGAUCCAGAACACUGAACGAGCAGUGAAAGAGACUGAAGGUGAUGUUGGCUGCACUCAAUCUCUGAGUGAUUUUGUAAACUCUGUGAACGAAACUUGUGUAGAACAGAAAAGGGAAAUGGCUUCAUACACAGCUCAUGGAAAUGCAGGUGAUGUUGAAUUUAUUUCAGAAAGUGCCAGUGAUUCUAUACAGUUUAGUCCAUUAACACUUGAGCAACAAAAUAGUGUUUGCUUAAAGCUGAACAUUGCAAAUGUUGUAAAAGAACAAAAUAAUCCAAAUGUGAUGCCAAUGGAAAUUUCUGAGCCUUGUGAAACUAUGAAAAUUGUUAAAGACGCUAACUGCUUUUUUCGAGCCUUAGCCUAUGGUGUAAGUGGAACGGAACGAGAACACAGAAAAGUAAGACGGGCUGUAGUUACACACAUACUGCAGAAUGAAGAAAAGUAUGUACAGUAUCUCAGACAAGGAUACAGCUCUGUACCGGAGUACAUUGCCACAUCAAGAAUGAAAUUUGUUGGAAACUGGGCAACAGAGAUGGAAAUACAAGCAGCCAGUGAUUUAAUUGGUGUAGACAUUUUUACAUACAGUCAAGAGAAAUGGUUUAAGUUUUCAUCUUCAAAUGCGUCCUUUAAUACACAUGGCUGUCAAGACAUCGGCAUAUAUUUGAAACAUGUGAAUAGCUGUCAUUAUGAAGUUGUUGUAUGUGGAAAGAGCAAGGACGGUAACUGUGCUUCCCUUUGUAAAUCAGCAAUUCAAGAUCCAUUGUUUAAUGUAGCAACAAAUGUGUCUUCAGAGUCAUGUGAGGAUUAUAAGAAGAAACUUAAAUGCAACAAUAGUCCUGAGUUCAAAGAAGAAAAACAAGUGAAGUCAAAGAAAAGAUUCCAUGAGGAUGAAAGUUACAUUUCAAUGAUGAAAUCCAUCAAUAAAAAAUAUAAGAAAAAUGAACAGCAUAAAGGAAAAGUAAAGAAAAGUGUGGACAAAUCAAAUGACAAAUCCAAUGAUGUACACUGCGAAGCUGUGUCAGAAGUGGAAGUUGAUAUUGCCUGCAGUCAAUCUUUGAGAGAUGUUAUAAACACAGAUAAAGUAUCUGUGAACGAAAUGUAUGCGGAAAAAAAAACAGAAACACCUUUUUUAUACCUAACAAAUGAAAAUGCAAGUGAUGUUGAAUUUAUUUCAGAAACUGCUACUGUUUCUUUACAGAGUGUGGAAAAGUACAAAACAAAUGACACAGAUGACCAAUCAGAUGAUUUAAAGUGCAAAGCUGUGUCCCAAAUGGAAGCUGAUGUUGUCUGCAGUCAAUUUUCGAGUGAUUUCAUAAGUACAGAUGAAGUAUCCGUGAAUGAAAUGUGUACUGAACAGAAAACAGAAAUGCCUUCUUUGUACCUAACAAAACAGAUUGCAGGUGAUGUUGAAUUUAUUUCAGAAACUGCCACUGUUUCUUUUCAGUUUAGCCCAUUAACAGUACAGCAACAAAAGACUAUUUGCUCAAAGCUGAACAUCGUAAAUGUUGUAAAAGAACAGAAUAAUCGAAAUGAGAUCGUUGAAAUGGCUGAGCCUUGUGAAACAAAAGAAAUUUUGGAGGAUGGUAAUUGUUUUUUUAGAGCUAUAGCGUAUGCUAUAAGUGGAAGUGAAGAAGAACACAGAAAAGUAAGACGGGCUGUAGUUACACACAUACUACACAAUGAAGAAAAGUAUGUACAGUAUCUCAGACAAGGAUACAGCUCUGUACCAGAAUACAUUGCCACAUCAAGAAUGAAAUAUGUUGGAACUUGGGCGACAGAGAUGGAAAUACAAGCAGCCAGUGAUUUAAUUGGUGUAGACAUUUUUACAUAUAGUCAAGACAAAUGGCUUAAAUAUAAAUCUUCAAAUGUCUCCUCUAAUAGACAGAGCUGUCAAGACAAGGGAAUUUAUUUGCAUCAUGUGAAUAGCUGUCAUUAUGAAGUUGUUGUAUGUGUAAAAACCAACAACAAUACCUGUGCUUGCUUUUGUAAAGCAUCUUCUCAAGGUUCAACCUAUUUAAAAACUAGCUCAGACCCACGUAAGCUUUAUAAGCAGAGACUGCAAUAUAGUCGUGAUCAUGAUUUUAAAGAAAAUAAAAAAAUGGAAACUAAGCAAAGAUAUGAUGAGAAUGAAACUUAUAAAGAGACAAAAAUUAAAUGCAGUAGUAAAAAGUACAAGGUAAACAAAUGGCAUCAAGAAAAAGUACGCAAAUACAGCACAGAUAAAUACAGAUUGAAUGAUUUGCAUUGUGAGGCAGUAAAACAAUAUAGUAUACAAAAGUACCAUACAGACAAAGCACAUAAAGACACGGUCAAAAAGAUGAGCAUUCAAAAAUAUAAUGAAAACACAGAACACAGAGAGUCGGUCAAAAAGAUGAGCAUUCAAAAAUAUAAUGAAAAACACAGAACACAGAGAGUCGGUCAAAAAGAUGAGCAUUCAAAAAUAUAAUGAAAACACAGAACACAGAGAUACGGUCAAAAAGAUGAGCAUUCAAAAAUAUAAUGAAAACACAGAACACAGAGAUACGGUCAAAAAAAGAUGAGCAUUCAAAAAUAUAAUGAAAACACAGAACACAGAGAGUCGGUCAAAAAGAUGAGCAUUCAAAAAUAUAAUGAAAACACAGAACACAGAGAGUCGGUCAAAAAGAUGAGCAUUCAAAAAUAUAAUGAAAACACAGAACACAGAGACUCAGUCAAAAAGAUGAGCAUUUUAAAGUAUAAUGCAAAUAAACCACACAAAGAGAUGGUUAUAAAUUACAAUGUUCAGAAAUAUAAAACUGAUAUUGCUUUUGUCAAUAAUAUAAAAAUGAGAAAUGCUGCAAGACAAUAUGAAUCACAGCUAAAAAUGAAAGAGAUAGACUAUGUAAUUGAACAAUUUAAACAAAAAAUAUCUACAGGUCCUGAAUAUGUUUGUUCAGUAUGUCAUCGUUGCUGCUUUAAAAUGCAGGUAAAAAAAUGCAAUAAAAAUAAAUACCUUCAAAAAUCAAUUCAUGCUGGUUGUAUGGCAGAAAAAUGUAUUACACUGAAAUAUCUGCAUGAGUGUAAUAAAGAUUGUAGUGAAAACUGUGUCUAUAAAAACAGUCCUGCUGCAUCUUUAUGGAUUUGUCACACAUGUGAUACAAAACUCUGUGAAGGUAAAAUGCCAGCUGAAAGUGUAGCAAAUCAUCUAAGUUUGGAUCCUAUUCCUGCUGAACUGAGCUGUUUAAACUCUCUUGAGCAACAUCUAAUAGGAAAAAAUAUUCCAUUCAUGAAAAUGCUGGCUUUGCCACGAGGAGGACAGAAUGGAAUAUGUGGCCCCGUUGUGUGCAUUCCAUCUAAUGUUACAGAAGUAGUGAAUGUUUUACCAAGAUCAGAAAAUGAUUUUAUGAUACCAAUAAAGCUUAAGAGAAAACUGACAUAUAAAGGGCAUUAUGAGUAUAAAUUUGUGAAUAGUGAUAAAAUUAAAACAGCAUUGACAUAUUUAAAAGAGAAUAACAAAUGGUAUACAGAUGUAGAGUUUAACAAAACUUGGAUUAAUCCUCUGAGUAAAAUAGAAGAGGAAAUGACUGAUAAAACAGAAAACAAUGAUAUGGAUUUGGACAAUUGUGAGGAUAUGCAUAUUAAUGAAGAGCAAAACAUUGACAAUGAUGAUAAUGAGAUGAGUGAUGAAACACUUCAUGAUCGACAGCAGCAUGGUUUGUUUAUGGAUUCAUGUUUGCAGCCAGUGGACAUUGCACAAGAAGUCUUAGAUCAACACUUUGAUGGCAUUAUGUCACUUGCACCAGCAGAGGGCAAUAAUCCAGUGAGAAUGCUAAUGGAUGAAACUAAUGAAGCCAAAUGUUUUCCAGUUCUGUUCCCAAAAGGAAAAGGUACAUUUCAUGAUUCACGACCUGAGAAAUUAACACUGUCUAGGUAUUUAAACAACAGAAUUUUAAAUGCAGAUGGACGUUUUGCCCAAAACCUCGAUUACAUCUUUUAUGGACAAUAUUUGUCAGAGCUGAAUCAAAUUAUGUCUAAUGUAUCUAUUGCAUUGAGGAAAGGCUAUGAUUCAAGCAACAAAACUAAAAUUACCUCAGAAAUGCUGACAAACAAAGACUCACUUCAAAGAAUUUUCAAUUAUGAUGAGGGUUACAAGUUUUUAAGGCCAGUGAGAGGCAGUCCUGUUUUUUGGCAAGCUGUUCAAAAAGAUUUGUUUGCAAUGGUAAGGCAACUUGGGAUCCCAACAUGGUUUUGUUCAUUUUCAUCAGCUGAUUUGCGAUGGCCAGAGUUAAUGCAGUGUAUUGUCAAACAAGAGGGUUGUCAAACUCCUAUUGAUGAACUGGACUGGUCUGAUAGAUGUGGGAUGCUGAAACGAAACCCAGUAACUGCUGCCAGAAUGUUUGAUCAUCGAUUCCACUGUUUUCUGAAAGAUGUCAUUAUGUCACCAGCUCAACCCAUUGGAAAAAUAAUAGAUUAUUUCUAUCGAAUUGAAUUUCAACAACGUGGAUCACCUCACACACAUUGUCUGUUUUGGGUUGAGAAUGCACCUCAAGUGGACAGAGAGGACGAUGAUGAAGUUGUAGAAUUUGUUGAUCGUUAUGUCAGUUGUGAAAUGCCAGCUGAAGAUGAAACAGAAAUGCAUGAAAUUGUGAGCACUGUCCAACAGCACAGCAAAAGACAUGCAAAAACGUGUAGAAAGAAAGGCACUACAUGUAGAUUUAACUUUCCACGUCCACCUAGCAAUAAUACUUUCAUUACAAGAAGCAGACAAACAGAUAAGAAUGAAAAAACAACAGUUGAUGGACAAUGUGAAAGUAAAGACCAAAAGGUAAACAAUUCUAAAGAGAUAUCAAAAGAAUUAGCUGAAAGUAUAAUGAAGAAAGUAAGAGAAUGUUUGCUGAACAGUGAUGCUAUCUUUGACUCUGUUGACUCUAUGUUUGCAUCUAUUGGUAUAAAUCAAGAGAUAUUUGAAUGCGCUUAUAACAAAAUGACAAAGAAAACAAAUGUUGUGCUGAAAAGGAAACCAAGUGAUGUUUGGGUGAAUCAGUAUAAUAAAGAUCUUUUGCGAUGCUGGAAUGCAAACAUGGACAUACAGUUUGUUGUUGAUGCUUACUCUUGCAUAGUGUAUAUCAUUUCCUACAUUUCAAAAGCAGAGAGAGAAAUGGGAUUGCUGUUGGCAAAUGCACAGAAAGAAGCACACAAGGAUGGCAAUAUGGAUGCAAAACAAGCUUUAAGAAAACUUGGAAGUGUUUUUCUUCAUAAUAGAGAGGUCUCAGCUCAAGAGAGUGUUUAUCGUUUGACUAAUAUGAGAUUAAAAGAAGGAUCGAGGAAAGUGGUUUUUUUAUUCCAACUGGUAUUAAU
ensembl:lncRNA